AUCCUCCAAGGCUAAAUACUCCUGACUGACCGAUAGUGAACCAGUACCGUGAGGGAAAGGCGAAAAGAACCCCGGCGAGGGGAGUGAAAAAGAACCUGAAACCGUGUACGUACAAGCAGUGGGAGCCUCUUUUAUGGGGUGACUGCGUACCUUUUGUAUAAUGGGUCAGCGACUUAUAUUCUGUAGCAAGGUUAACCGAAUAGGGGAGCCGGAGGGAAACCGAGUCUUAACCGGGCGUUAAGUUGCAGGGUAUAGACCCGAAACCCGGUGAUCUAGCCAUGGGCAGGUUGAAGGUUGGGUAACACUAACUGGAGGACCGAACCGACUAAUGUUGAAAAA
rnacentral:rRNA from 1 species